UAAGGUAACGGCUUACCAAGGCAACGAUGCAUAGCCGACCUGAGAGGGUGAUCGGCCACACUGGAACUGAGACACGGUCCAGACUCCUACGGGAGGCAGCAGUAGGGAAUCUUCCGCAAUGGGCGAAAGCCUGACGGAGCAACGCCGCGUGAGUGAUGAAGGUCUUCGGAUCGUAAAACUCUGUUAUUAGGGAAGAACAUAUGUGUAAGUAACUGUGCACAUCUUGACGGUACCUAAUCAGAAAGCCACGGCUAACUACGUGCCAGCAGCCGCGGUAAUACGUAGGUGGCAAGCGUUAUCCGGAAUUAUUGGGCGUAAAGCGCGCGUAGGCGGUUUUUUAAGUCUGAUGUGAAAGCCCACGGCUCAACCGUGGAGGGUCAUUGGAAACUGGAAAACUUGAGUGCAGAAGAGGAAAGUGGAAUUCCAUGUGUAGCGGUGAAAUGCGCAGAGAUAUGGAGGAACACCAGUGGCGAAGGCGACUUUCUGGUCUGUAACUGACGCUGAUGUGCGAAAGCGUGGGGAUCAAACAGGAUU
rnacentral:rRNA from 1 species